UCAAAUCCCUGUUCCGAAUGAAUGACCUGCGAACACGUUCCGAAAACAAUAAGCGUUGUUGCGCCCUUGCUCGGUCGGUCCCUUAAUUAUUUGUUGUUGCGGGACGCGUCUAGCAUGGAAAAACGAAAUCCGGCGCGGGAAGCGCCAAGGACUAGCAAAAUACAGGGUGGCCUUCCCGCGGUGUAUCCUCGCCGCGGGGAUUAAAGGGUCUCCAAAAGAAAAUCAAUCUUAUACGACGACUCUCGGCAACGG
rnacentral:misc_RNA from 1 species